GUGCGGCUAACCACUGAUGUUAGGCAGGUGUAAAUUAAAAAUGAACGACCAAUAUUCACUUAAUAAUAUUGACAGCAUCCUUUUUCAGUUUGCUCUUCAAACAAGGAAGCUCUCCCAAAAGAAGAAUGAAAUCAACCAACAAAUUAAAGUUUGCAGAGUUGACACUACUGAGAGGAGGUCGUACAUCGAAACAAUCCACAGAAAUAUCAAAAGACUUGAGGAGGAAAUCAGGGCGAAGCAGAGCACUGUGAUGCAUAAUAAAGCAAAUGC